CAGGAAAGAGCUGAAUAAAACACACUGGACAUUUCAUUGAAAUUUACCCCUUGUUUAUAAUCUACAGAUUUUGGAAAUGUUCAGACAAGUUGCAAUUAAUAUAUGUCCCAGGAUUGUUGGUGAUUUGUGUAUCUUUUCUUUCUAUGUUCUCAUAGAUUUAAGAACGAUAAAACUACUGAUCUCAGGAAUAGCGGUAGUAUUGAUCAUUGUUGCAGUGACCGUCUUGUGGUUGAAAUGCAAUGCCCAUAAAAGCGGAAAAUAUAAUGUACAGAAUUCAAAACCCAACAACAAUGCACAGAUCCCCAAUGGGCAUGAUCAUCAGGAAGAUGUUCCUUUUGGAGGAACGUCAUCCAUAACUUGGUAACACAACAACAAUUACAAACUGGUGCAAGAUACGGAUGGUGUCUAAUAAUCAGCGUGAUAAUUGACAUAGCCAUCGUAUUGACUAUAAUACUUAUCAAUAAGUUCAGCACUGCCAAUAGAAGUGGCAGCUAUAAUGUCUGCAAGAGAAAUCAACCUGUGGAAGAUAGGUCUAUGAAUCCUACCAGGGAUAACUGAAUGGAAACAAUGAUGAACAAAUUGAGACAUCAACAGAUUGUAUCUAAUUGUAAAAUUAUCACAUUUAAAGAUAUUCUAGAUAUUUGGGAAGAUUUUAUGAAUCCUUUAUUUUGAAAGUCAUUUCCUACAAGCUUAUUUUUGUAUUACUAUUAAUUGAAAGAAAUACUGUAAAUUCCUUGGGUACAUAUUGAUUUAUUAGCAUCCAUUUAUAGUACAGCAUGUUGUAGGACCACAUGAAAUAGGCCAUUCAGCCCCUUGGGCCUGCUCUGCCAUUCAAUAGGAUCAUGUCUGAUCUGACAUUCCUCACAUCCAUUUACCGUCUGCCACAAACAUUACAUCAAACAGACAGGAAGGAAAUUAGCCAUCAGAAUACAUGAACAUCAGCUAGCAGCAAAAUGGCACGACGUACUCUCCUUAAUAUCGGUACAUUCAGACAAUGAAGGCCAUCAGUUUAACUGGGACAAGGUAACCAUAGUAGCCCAACCCAAACAUAGACACGAAUAGGAAUUUUUAGAGGCACGGUUCUCCACCUGUAAUGCAAUCAACAAACAUAUAGAAUUGGACCCCAUAUACAAACCCAUACAGAUCAAAACCGGAAAUGACGCUACUCACCAUAACAGACCGGACAGUAUAAAUUCCAAGCAGAGUAGAACAACACCGCUUCAUCGGAAGCUCCACUGAUGAUGUUAUUUAGCAUGGUGACGAAACGUCUGAACAAAAACAAGCCAGCUCGGUGAGCAAGUCAACAACCUCACCAACAAGGUCUCUGCCCCACAGCUCUCUGUGGCAAGGAGUUCCAAAGACUCAUAAGCCUCUGAGAGAAGAAAUUCCUCCAUAUCUCAGUCUGACAUUGGUACCCCUUCAUUUGGAGGCUGUGCCCUCCAGCCCCAGACUCUCCCAUGAGGGGAAACAUUCUCUUGGCAUUUUAGCUGUCAAGUUCUUUACGAAUCCUAUGUGUUUCAAUGAGAUUAUCUCUCAUUCUUCUAAACUUAAAUGAAUAGAGUCCCAAUCUGUUUAAUCUUUGUUCAUAAGACAAUCCCUCCAUACUGUGGUCACCACAUUAUUGAGUAGGCAAGUGCUACUUGAUGUGACAGAAUCAUUCUAGGUUUAUGAUUGAUAAACUAGGAUUUUUAGGCCUGAAACGUCAGCCUUCCUGCUCCUCUGAUGCUGCUUGGCCAGCUGUGUUCAUCCAGCUCUACACCUUGUUAUCUCAUUGUAAAUAGUGAAACAUGUCAUUGUUAUAAACCCUUGGGUUUUUGUUGAAAGCUCUCUAAUUGUGUUAAAAUACUGUAUUUUAAUUUAAAAAGUCAAUUGAAAGUGUUGUGCAACUGUGCAAAAUUUUACUUUCAAAAGGGAUGUUACCAUUUCUUCAAAUACUAAUGUAACACGUUUAUUACUUAUGCUGUUUUUUCUGGACACCAUCAUAGAGGCAUUCAUUGAAGAUUAUAUGGUUACCUUAGUAAUGGCCAAACUGAAAAUAAAUGUUUGUCUGGGGAGGGAGAGUUGUGCCUUAUUUGGUUUCACUGUACAGAGAACAGUUAAAAAUAAUGUCCCUCAGUGAAAAACCUAAAUUGUUUGCUUUUCUAUAUCUGACAUGCAAUAAAUCAAUUUGUUUUACAUUUA